rnacentral:tRNA from 1 species
AACUGGAGACCUUAGUGGUUAAGGAUAUGGAUCGCCAAUCCGGAGACGGCGGGCUCGAUUCCCGUUCCGGUCG